rnacentral:tRNA from 3 species
GCCAAAGUGGCGGAACUGGUAGACGCGCACGACUCAAACUCGUGUUCCUCACGGAGUAGGGGUUCGAUUCCCCUCUUUGGUA